GUUGGGAUGAAAAGCUGCUUCGAUGUCUUUAGCUGGAGCUGGAAGAGAAACAGACACUUGGCUCAGUGCUUUGAUGAAUAUUCACAGAGUAAGAGCACACGUCUCCCUGCUGUCCUGAGGUUUCCCUCCAGCAGCAGCGGCAGACCCCUCCUGGACUUCUCAGCACAAAGAAAGAGACGACUAACCCUGACCUGACUGACGCCUGCCGCGGUGAUAGCCGUGGACGUCGUCCACUCGCGGCG